rnacentral:rRNA from 1 species
UACGAAGGGGGCUAGCGUUGUUCGGAAUUACUGGGCGUAAAGCGCGCGCAGGCGGUCUUCCAAGUCAGUGGUGAAAGCCUGGAGCUCAACUCCAGAACUGCCAUUGAAACUGUUAGACUUGAGUACGAGAGAGGUGAGUGGAAUUCCUGGUGUAGCGGUGAAAUGCGCAGAUAUCAGGAGGAACACCAGUGGCGAAGGCGGCACUCUGGGCCGGUACUGACGCUGAGACGCGAAAGCGUGGGGAGCGAACAGG